rnacentral:rRNA from 1 species
UGACCGCUGGCGGCGUGCCUAAUACAUGCAAAUCGAGCGAACGGACGAGAAGCUUGCUUCUCUGAUGUUAGCGGCGGACGGGUGAGUAACACGUGGAUAACCUACCUAUAAGACUGGGAUAACUUCGGGAAACCGGAGCUAAUACCGGAUGAUAUUUUGAACCGCAUGGUUCAAAAGUGAAAGACGGUCUUGCUGUCACUUAUAGAUGGAUCCGCGCUGCAUUAGCUAGUUGGUAAGGUAACGGCUUACCAAGGCAACGAUGCAUAGCCGACCUGAGAGGGUGAUCGGCCACACUGGAACUGAGACACGGUCCAGACUCCUACGGGAGGCAGCAGUAGGGAAUCUUCCGCAAUGGGCGAAAGCCUGACGGAGCAACGCCGCGUGAGUGAUGAAGGUCUUCGGAUCGUAAAACUCUGUUAUUAGGGAAGAACAUAUGUGUAAGUAACUGUGCACAUCUUGACGGUACCUAAUCAGAAAGCCACGGCUAACUACGUG